ACGGGUGCGGAACACGUACGCAACCUUCCUUUAAGUGAGGGAUAGCUUUCGGAAACGAAAAUUAAUACCUCGUAAAAUCGUGGUGUGGCAUCACACUAUGAUUAAAGCUCCGGCGCUUAAAGAUGGGCGUGCGCCUGAUUAGGUAGUUGGCGGGGUAACAGCCCACCAAGCCUACGAUCAGUAACUGGUGUGAGAGCACGACCAGUCACACGGGCACUGAGACACGGGCCCGACUCCUACGGGAGGCAGCAGUAAGGAAUAUUGGUCAAUGGACGCAAGUCUGAACCAGCCAUGCCGCGUGGAGGAUGAAGGUCCUCUGGAUUGUAAACUUCUUUUAUCGGAGAAGAAACCCCAACAUUCUUGUUGGGUUGACGGUACCCGAUGAAUAAGCACCGGCUAACUCCGUGCCAGCAGCCGCGGUAAUACGGAGGGUGCAAGCGUUAUCCGGAUUCACUGGGUUUAAAGGGAGCGUAGGUGGGCUGGUAAGUCAGUGGUGAAAUCUCCGGGCUUAACUCGGAAACUGCCGUUGAUACUAUCAGUCUUGAAUAUUGUGGAGGUAAGCGGAAUAUGUCAUGUAGCGGU
rnacentral:rRNA from 1 species